rnacentral:tRNA from 1 species
CGCGGGCAUAGUUUAGUGGUAAAACCUCAGCCUUCCAAGCUGAUGAUGAGGGUUCGAUUCCCUCUGCCCGC